GAUGAACGCUGGCGGCGUGCUUAACACAUGCAAGUCGAACGGAAAGGCCCAAGCUUGCUUGGGUACUCGAGUGGCGAACGGGUGAGUAACACGUGGGUGAGCUGCCCUGCACUUCGGGAUAAGCCUAGGACACUGGGUCUAAUACCGGAUAGGACGAUGGCUUGGAUGCCAUUGUGGAAAGUUUUUUCGGUGUGGGAUGAGCUCGCGGCCUAUCAGCUUGUUGGUGGGGUAAUGGCCUACCAAGGCGUCGACGGGUAGCCGGCCUGAGAGGGUGUACGGCCACAUUGGGACUGAGAGACAGCCCAGACUCCUACGGGAGGCAGCAGUGGGGAAUAUUGCACAAUGGGCGCGAGCCUGAUGCAGCGACGCCGCGUGGGGGAUGACGGACUUCGGGUUGUAAACUCCUUGCGCUAGGGACGAAGCGUUUUGUGACGGUACCUGGAGAAGAAGCACCGGCUAACUACGUG
rnacentral:rRNA from 1 species